GGACGGGAGGGUCAGAUGACUACGGUUACAUCUCGGGCUUCCGGAGCUAGUUGGGUCUUUGUUUUUGGUGUUUUAGAGUCGGUGAAGGCUUUAAAGGAAGUAGGCAGCUGGAACCCGGCUGUGGCGGGUUGAAAAGCCCGGGCGUUUGAGAGCUGAGACUUGCCAGUUCCCACAGGCCAAGCCAGGCGUCUGCACCCCAUUCUCUUGGUUCCGACGAAUAUGCUCUCCAUGAGGGUGUUCUUCAGGGCCUACCACAAUGGCUGGCACUAGAGAAGGGCACAAAAUUGAAGAACAGUGAAGACAAAAGCAAUAAGAUGAUUAAGGCCAUGUGAGACAGCAACAAUAUCAGUGGCGGAAAGGGAAGUUUGUAUCACCUGUGUUAAUGCUGCUCUGGAAAGGGAGCCAGAAUGAGAGUGCACAGUGAUCACACAGUCACCAUCAAAUAAACCAUGACUACGCACAUACUCUGGGAUGGCUGCAUCUCUCCUGUGGGAAAGAGAGAGAUAGAAAGAGAGAGCAACAUGUCAUCCGAUGACUGCAGCCUAGAUGGAUAUGGCUGUGAUAGAGUGCUUCAAUUGGAAUCUGCCUCUUGUAACUGAAAAUUACUUUAAACAAUAAAAAGAAGUUAUUGACUCAUAGUCAAGAAAGCUUGACAGUGCUGCAGUGCAGUCCUUGGACUACAGUGGUCCACAAACUGUUAUUGGUCCACGAUAAGAUAUCUAUGUGGCUGCAAGAUCCACGUGCAUGACCCUUCUUUCCUACCUUGUUGAUGAUGCUACAGGAUAACGAGAACACCUGGGUUUAAGAGGCAUAGAAGAACCACUUUUUAUAAAGGAUACCUCCAGUGGAUGAAGCUAUAUGAUUCAUCUUUAUUGUGUGUUACAAAAGUAUCAGUCAAUAAAAUAACAAUAAAACUGAAAAUGAAACGGAAAACUGCUGUUAUUACAGACAGUUCGAAAAACAGUGGCCUAGAGUGGUGAUUCCCAGUCCUGGCUGCUCAACAGAACUACCUGGUGAGCUUUGACAACUCCCAGUAAUGAGGUUCAUUCCCAGGGAUUUUCAUUUAAUUGGCCUGGGGUGGGGCCAAAGCAUG
rnacentral:lncRNA from 10 species